GCUAGUCUUGUAUUGGAAUGAUGGGAAUUUAAACCUCUUCCAGAGUAUCAAUUGGAGGGCAAGUCUGGUGCCAGCAGCCGCGGUAAUUCCAGCUCCAAUAGCGUAUAUUAAAAUUGUUGCAGUUAAAAAGCUCGUAGUUGAAUUUCUGCUGCAUUGCUUGUGUCCCUCUGGGGUCUGUGCAUGUGGCUUUUUUCGGACGGAGUUUCUUUGUCUGAAUGUUUACUUUGAGAAAAUUAGAGUGCUCAAAGCAGGCUUUCGCCUUGAAUAGUUUAGCAUGGAAUAAUAAAGUAGGACUUUGGUUCUAUUUUGUUGGUUUUAGGUACCAAAGUAAUGGUUAAUAGGAACAGUUGGGGGCAUUCGUAUUUAACUGUCAUAGGUGAAAUUCUUAGA
rnacentral:rRNA from 1 species